UGUUGACCUCUUUGGAGGAUUCCAGUAGAUUUCAGUGCUGAUGCCAUCAUUUUGCAUCUGGCUAUGGGAACAUAACCUUCUCCAAACCUGCCUGCUUGCUGUGAAGCACAGACUUGCUAUGCUGGGUGGCUUCAGGAAGUAUCAGCAAGUUGAGGGAAGAGACUUCAGGUGCUGCCGGGGAAGGAUAGAAAUACCUACACAGCACUGAAAAAAGGUAUCUACACAUGUAAGAUCUUUCCACUUGGAGUUUGACCAUCUUGCCUGCCUUUCUUUUUUUGAUAAUGAUUGCAGAGUAGAAGCUACCUAAAGUUCACAGGGUGCUCAGGACCGAAAGAAAUUGAAGGUGUUUGCUGAUGUUGUGACAGCUCUCUCGCGAACCUGCCUGGACAAGAGACAGCUUCCCCAGAUGAGUUUUCGGAAGACUGGAGUGUGCUGAGACAAUGCAACAGCAUCCCUCGCCCUUCAAAGGCCACGUCAUGCUGGCAUUUAGGUUUUCUUGGUACUUGCCACCAAAGCACUCACAGCAGUAGCGAGACUGACAGUCAUGUAUCUUAUGAACAUCCAGUUACUCUGAACACAUCUGAAAGCUCAGGCAGAAAGAACAUGAUGAUACUCUACGGUUGGCAUUUCCAGUCCAGUAACUUCAACAGAACAAAGCUCACAAGGCAGGUCAGAACUGACAAUGAGACAACUUGAUAGCUUUGGGAAAAUCCGAAUGGGCCUGAAAAAUAAUGAGGGGCCAUAUCUACAUUUCUGCAUCAGAUCAACAUUUAAAAGGCAUUUGAAAGAAUAUUUUUAAUGAAAAUAUACUUGCAGAAUCACAGCAGAAAAGAGUUUGAGGGAAGUGACUUGUGCCAGAACUUGUAAUACUAGGUUUGUCCACUGUUGCCAAUAAAAUUCCAAUGCCAAUAAAACACAUCUCAACUUUUCUAAUCUUUCAUCUCAGACUAAUAUUGUCAUUAUUGAAAUUUGAUUUUAAGAGGGUUUAAAAAAACCCCAAGAAUGUUUUAUUAUGAAGCCUUUAAUUUGGGUCUGUUGAUGAUUUUCUCUGCAGCAAACAUUACAGUAUAGAUAGAACAUAUAUCUUGAAAUCUAAGUACUAACUCUUUUACUAUAACAUUUGUUCUCCUCACCACCACCACCUUCACUUUUUUAAAUACCUCAUUAAUUCUGGAAGCUAUUUGUUGCAGGAGAAGACACAUUAGCAUCUUUACUCAUAAAAAAGGGCACAGUUUAUAUGCUACAGAUUUACACACCGGGAUGAAGGUUAAUUAAGGCUAUCAUUGAAAAACAUGCUCUGAGACCUUGUACAGCAAAAUGUGAAUAAAGCUCAUGUAAUUCUAGGUAUUUCCUGCAUGUGUUUGGUGUAUAUAUUCUGCUAGAUUGAAGAUAUCUUUUGGUAAUUUAUUAAAAUUGUCCUUGAGGAUAUCAGUAAGUGCCUUUAUGAGAAAGCCCGUCACAUUAUGAUAGGAAGGAAAUACUGUUAUUGUAUCCUCAGGUAAUAUUCUCUAGUUAUUAUGCACUAAAAAUAGAUGCAUUUAUUUCCUCUUGUUUUUAUAUUUCUUCUGGGAAAUAUUAUCCAAACCAUUUGAAGGAAGUCAUGCUGAUGAGUAAGAUGUAUGAAAACAACCAGAACAAAAUCUAGGCAAUAUCUAAAAAUAUUCUACCACUUUUUUGUCAUAUUAUUUCCAUCUGUUCUCUAACUUAAAAUGUGAAAACAUCGAAUAUGGAGACAGAAUGCACUCAGGUGCUUUAGCGGAAAAAAAGUGCACCCCAUACUUUUGGCUGAGCUGCUAUGACUUAUCAUGGAUUAGUUGACUCUGAGGGUCUUUGUCAGAAUUAAGAACUAACUCUAGUCUUAUGUAUGCUUAAUGAAUCUGAUGAGGAUUAUUCCCAAUAACUAUGCAUAAUAUUAUAACUUAUCUUUUCAAUAAACUGCAACAAAAGCUCAGCUUAUAACUUAUCUUUUCAAUAAACUGCAA
rnacentral:lncRNA from 11 species